GCAUGAUCUCUAGUUAAAGAUAAUUAACUUUAAUUUUUUUUAUUUUUCCUUUUUCGGUAGAAUGUGAAAGGUAUUUUUAUUUUUUGUUUAAUUUGUAAGAUUUAGUAAACGAACCAGAUUAGUACCUGGUUAGAUAAAAUUUAAAAGUGCAGGAGUAAAGUUAUAUUUAAACUGUAAAGAUAUUGGCAGGUCUCUUAAAUUAUCUUUGGAGGUUGGGUAGUAAUUGAGAACCCUCAUUUUCAGCUCUUAUUUUUGGCGCAUGUAUGAUCGUUUAUUUUAUUCCUAAAGAUUGUAAAUAAAAAUUAUUCUUUAAAAAAAUAGAUAAAUACCCGGUUUAUAUAAGAGUUUUUAAUCUGACCUACAAUAUUUUAUAUUAUGGAUUUUUUAUUGAGAAAUAUAAAUAAAAUUGUAAAAGACAGUAAAUUAGUUUUAAUAUCUAAUUGAAGUUUAUCUAGAGACGGUACAAAUCAUCCAUCAAUUGCCCAAAGGGGAGUAAGUUGUAGUAAAGUAGACCCGGGGCUUUUUUUUUUUUUUUUUUCCCCCCCCCAAAAUUAAUAAAACCCCCCCCUCUCUCCUCUUUUUUUUUCUUCUUGU
rnacentral:ncRNA from 1 species